ACUACUUCUUGUAGGUUUGUCACCUUUAUCUCUACCCUUUUUGCCUUUUGUAAUUGCCUCAAGUAAUAAUCCUGCAUCCUUCAUUACUUGAUUGAAAUUUUCUUGAUUAUCUGCCUCUUCUUUAUCUUCGAUAAAUGGUUCAAUAUUAUGUGCCUUUUCUGAUCCUAUGUCUUCAGUUACUUGAUGAGAAACCAGUUCAUGCAUAGUCUUGUUAUGAGAACUCCUCUUUGCUGACGUUGCCACUAUGGUUCUCCUUUCAGAUACUGAUUCUAGCCCUUCCACUGUGGUUAUGGUACCUUUGUAGCUUGAUUCAUCCACUUGAAGUGCCUUCUCAUAUGUUGCUUGAUCAAGAAAUAAUUGCAUGUUCUGAUGAUGUAUGUCUACAUGUUAGUUCCCCUCCUUAUUACCUACUAUUUCUACUGCAUGACUUGUUGAAGCUAUUUUAUUGCUGCUGCAAAUCUGUUUUCCUUCUACUUGGAGUGAUUCCCCAGAACUUUAUUGAUCAACAGGAACUUUCUCUUCCUUAUUCCCACCAAUCUCUGCAUAUUCUACAAUAUCUUUUUGCUUCCUCAGGACUUCUACCUUGCUGUUGUUGUUCUGCUAAAGUCUACAACUAUCCCUUAUCUCCUUACCUUUGUUCAAAUCUGUUGAUCCUUAUUGCUGAUAAAUUAUUUCAGCAUGCUCCUUUAUGAAUACAUUAUUGUUCUGUGGAACCUGUGGAUCUUCAACUGUAUCCUUACUAUCAUAUUUUGUAUUAUCAUGUUUUUUGCUAAUAUUAUCAAUUUUCAGCACUCCUUUCUCUGAAGCAUCCCCCUUCUCAGCCAUGCAUUCAUCUCUGGAAGUGUGACUAUCACUUUGAUGUUGUCCAACAUUCCCCUACUUCAUAUGAUUAAUACUACUUUCCUCCUCAACUUGUUGAAGAAUAUCAAAAGAAUUCUUGGGUUCCAUUUUGCAAGAAUCACUCUUCCAUUGACAUAUCUCCUUUGAACUGGAUGUAAGCUUCGACAUUCAACCUCGUCAUGUCCUUAUAGCUCAUAGGUAAUUUGGCUACCAAGUCUACUUGCACUUUCACCCUGGCGUCUUAUUUAUUGUAGCCAUAUCCAGCUGGCUAGGUUUCCCUACUGCUGCUGGUAAUGAAAACAAAGAUUCCUUCACAAAGAAGGUAUGAAAAAGAUCGGGGAAAGAGAUCCAUGUAAUCGCCUGCGUAGUCUCCACCUUUGGAUCAAAAUUUUUGACAUAAAUGAAAGGCCUCAUCUGAUAUGCUAAACCAUUUUUUGUUGUGAUGUAAUAUACAGUUUUUGACGUCAUAUUAAUAAAAUCUUCCUUGAGAUCAAAGCACAUUAAUAUGUCUGUUACACAGUAAAUCAAUUUUACAGCCUUCUUUUAUUUUGCAUUGCUUUGGAAUUUGCAUUCUCAAUUCUUCUUUGU